UGAAUACGAGAUGCUACGGCGUCGAAGCAGUCUAUGUCAUACUUCCAAGAAAAGCUCGCACUGUCAUAAACAAAUAAUGCCUGUACCAUAACCGACACAGGUGGGUAGGUAGAGUAUACUAAGGGGCGCGAGAUAACUCUCUCUAAGGAACUCGGCAAAAUGACUCCGUAACUUCGGGAGAAGGAGUGCCUUAUUUAUAAGGUUGCAAUAACAAGAUCCAAGCAACUGUUUAUCAAAAACACAGGUCUCCGCUAAGUCGUAAGACGAUGUAUGGGGGCUGACGCCUGCCCAGUGCCAGAAGGUUAAAGAAGUUGGUUAGCAUUCGCGAAGCUGAUAACUGAAGCCCUGGUGAACGGCGGCCGUAACAAUAACGGUCCUAAGGUAGCGAAAUUCCUUGUCGGGUAAGUUCCGACCCGCACGAAAGGCGUAAUGAUUUGGAUACUGUCUCGGAGAGGGGCUCGGUGAAAUAGACUUGUCUGUGAAGAUGCGGACUACCUGCACCAGGACAGAAAGACCCUAUGAAGCUUUACUGUAACUUGAGAUUGAAAUUGGACUUUACUUGCGCAGUAUAGGUGGGAGGCGUUGAUAAUAUUCUUGCGGGAUUAUUUGAGCCAUCAGUGAGAUACCACUCUUGUAAUGUUAGAUUUCUAACUUUGUAUCAUUAUCUGGUCAAAGGACAGUUUCAGGCGGGCAGUUUGACUGGGGCGGUCGCCUCCUAAACGGUAACGGAGGCGCACAAAGGUUUCCUCUGAACGGGUAGAAAUCGUAUCUAGAGUGUAAAGGCAUAAGGAAGCUUGACUGUGAGACCUACAAGUCGAGCAGGGACGAAAGUCGGUCUUAGUGAUCUGACGGUGCUGAGUGGAAAGGCCGUCACUCAACGGAUAAAAGUUACUCUAGGAUAACAGGCUGAUCUCCCCCAAGAGUUCACAUCGACGGGGAGGUUUGGCACCUCGAUGUCGGCUCAUCGCAUCCUGGGGCGGUAGUACGUCCCAAGGGUUGGGCUGUUCGCCCAUGAAAGCGGUACGCGAGCUGGGUUCAGAACGUCGUGAGACAGUUCGGUCCAUAUCCGGUGUAGGCGUUAGAAUAUUGAGAGGAGCCUUCUUUAGUACGAGAGGACCGAGAAGGACAUACCUCUGGUGUACCAGUUAUCGUGCCAACGGUAAACGCUGGGUAGCUAUGUAUGGAGUGGAUAACCGCUGAAAGCAUCUAAGUGGGAAGCCCACCUCAAGGUAAG
rnacentral:rRNA from 1 species